GUCAUAAAAUUAUAUUAGCUUUCCGAGGGCUUCCUUCUCCACAGUUUACUCAUGUAAGGUAGCGCUUUUUAAGAGGGAGACCUUCUGCAAGGCUUUGCAGGCUGCUGAUGCCUCGACAAUACCCCUCUGGAGGAAGAUCGUCCUGAUGGAUGAGAAGAGAGGAAGUAAGCAAAACUUGAAGGUAGUUUGGAAAAUGAAGAAGGAUGGAGAAUGAAUAAGGCAUGA